rnacentral:rRNA from 1 species
UACGGGGGGGGCAAGCGUUGUUCGGAAUUACUGGGCGUAAAGGGCUCGUAGGCGGCCAACUAAGUCCGACGUGAAAGCCCACGGCUCAACCGUGGAGGGUCAUUGGAAACUGGGGGACUUGAGUACAGAAGAGAAGAGUGGAAUUCCACGUGUAGCGGUGAAAUGCGUAGAGAUGUGGAGGAACACCAGUGGCGAAGGCGACUCUUUGGUCUGUAACUGACGCUGAGGCGCGAAAGCGUGGGGAGCAAACAGG